CCCUUAGAUGUUCUGGGCCGCACGCGUGCUACACUGAGUGGAUCAGCGGGUCAGGUUGCGCGAAAGCGUUUCCUAAUCUUUAAAUCCGCUCGUGAUGGGGAUUGACGGUUGCAAUUUUCUGUCAUGAACGAGGAAUACCUUGUAAGCGCGGGUCAUCAUCCCGCGCUGAAUACGUCCCUGCCCUUUGUACACACCGCCCGUCGCUCCUACCGAUUGAGUGGUCCGGUGAGGCUUUGGGAUCUGAGCGGAAAGAGCGUUUCGUUGUUUCUGCUCGGAAAACUCAGUCGAACCUUAUCAUUUAGAGGAAGGAGAAGUCGUAACA
rnacentral:rRNA from 1 species